UACGAAGGGGGCUAGCGUUGCUCGGAAUCACUGGGCGUAAAGGGUGCGUAGGCGGGUUUUUAAGUCAGGGGUGAAAUCCUGGAGCUCAACUCCAGAACUGCCUUUGAUACUGGCGACCUUGAGUCCGGGAGAGGUGAGUGGAACUGCGAGUGUAGAGGUGAAAUUCGUAGAUAUUCGCAAGAACACCAGUGGCGAAGGCGGCUCACUGGCCCGGUACUGACGCUGGGGUGCGAAAGCGUGGGGAGCAAACAGG
rnacentral:rRNA from 1 species